CAGAGAUGGCCGUUUGAACAGACAGAUGCAGCUUUUCUGUCCAAAUCUCAGUGAGCAUGGCGUCUGGCAUGUCACAUUCAUCGGUGAGAAGUCGAAGGCAUCGCCACAGCUGGGACAGAGAUCUGUCGCCAAGGCAUUCUUCAUAGACAAGCUGUCGAACGUUUUCUCUUCUUGUCUUGGAGACACGUUCCAGUAUUGCUUGUUUAGCUGUAGCAUACUUCUCGUUCGGAGGAGGUGACUUAACCAGGUCAUAAAUUAAGUCGACACGGUCGUGGAGGUGGUUCGUGAGGCAUGUGAAACGGGCAUUGUCAUCAAGUGCACAGACACUGAAAGUUUGCUCGACCAGGUUGAACCAGAAUUCCGGGUGAGCAGGUUCGAAUGCCAGAAGUUUUGGUAGAUUCAACGAACUGGUGCUCGAAGAAUGCGGGCUGCUGCUCACAGACGCUGGAGUAGGCAAGUCAAAGUUAACUCUGCGUCAUGAGGGCGGUAGAGAGGAAGCAGACGUGCCGGCUGUUUUCAUGGUAGCUGGAGGGGAAGCGAAAUCUGUUAGCAGGAAGCCCAGCGUGUAGUGAAGCAGGACCGGUUGUUGUGACGGAAGGUCAAAGUGGUCACGGCAGUUGCUUGACAGGUUAUUAUGCAACUGGUCCUCCACAUCUGCAGCGAAAUUGCCCCUCACAGAAUCACUGAUGAGCUUGGUGGAACGUGACGCGCUCAGAUUACUGCACUGAUGAACACUCGGAGUAACAGGCUGGCGAAUGUCAUUCACAUAGUGUUCAACUGGCGUGGAGUGAUACACAUGUGGAGCUUGCACAUUCAAAAAGGUGUCCUGUUGUGGCACAAUAUGAAAACUAUGCUCCCCACUAUUUACAGUACUUGCAUUAAAGUUCGGUAUCAGUGUGUAGUGGUUUCUUGUACUGCUGUGCGGUGAAAACUGAAGCACUUCAGGGCUAACAAAGCUGGAGUUGGAGACCGCUGGCGUCAUGUUCAAAACCACUGCACCUGACGAGGUCCCUGGGUUCUCGAGGCUAUAGGACUGCGGAAAUUCAUGUUGGGCACUGGCUACAGCUGGUGCGCUUGAAUUUAGUUGCUGUUGCUGGUGAAAACCGGGCGGCAGUGGCGUGUUGUAGAAGGCCAUUGUGUAGUGGACAAAGGUCGAUGCGGAACGUGGAAGCCGGUGUGGUAGUCACUUUGUACUCGGUUUGUCGGAUUAUUCGAACUUCGGGGUCACCACUGAAGGAGAUAUCAAAAUGGUAAGGUAAUGACACAGUUCUCUCUUCUAAUCAUCAAUACUUUUAUUACACGACAAACGUACAGGUUGAAGACUAGGUUGGAACUGAGGUCCCGGAAGUAUACAAAACAAAGCUCAACUCGAAGACAUAGUACACAAAUGAUGUUCUGGCCUAUCGAUCCAUGGAUCGACGCCACAGCAUAAUGCGUCCUCGGCUCGCUACUGAAGUACCGCACACACAUGCGUCAGCAGUGUGCCUGCUCCCCAGAUAAGAUUAUGAAAGUCUCAGCUGGUCUCUUGGUGACUACUGCAGUUUUCUUUUUCACACUGUGCAGCAGUGUUGUUAUUCAACAAUAUGCUUCCAUUUUAGCAAGAUGCAAAUCACAUAAACUGUAUAUGAUCCAAGUGUCCAAACAUUAAUAUGAGAUAUGUUUACUGGUGUGUGUAAACCAGUAAGUGAAGAGUAUGUCAGCCAGUGCUCUCUGGCAGACUUAAAAAGAUCCUUAAGUACAAUUAACCUACCACAACACAAUAUUUAAACAAAUAAACUCCUGCUACAUGUCACAUCUGCAUCACCCCUACAUUACUAGUGUGUGUAAAACCAAGCAUGUUGUCCUAUCAACAGAAUUACUGUGUUUUGGAUAAAAUAAUUUUGGGUAUUGGGCCUCAACAUUGUAACUACUAAAACAGCUAACUUGCCGAUAUUUCAAAUGACUUGCGGCAGUCCUCUUCCGGGUGGUUCACUGCUGUAUACUGGUGAAUGUCUUUCUUUACAUACUGUUAUUUUCAGUUAUCUAGUGGCUACCAAUGUCUCAUAUCUGUGAUGUCAUUGGACAAUUUAAAGAGAUUGUUAUGGCAGUGGCUGUAUGGUACACUAUUGCCUAUGCCGGAAGGCAACUCUAGUAGAGAUGACUGUAUCAGUUUUCUGUUACCUGUGCCACUCUGGUAAUGAUUGGUCAGCAACCCUUGUUGGUGGUUGGAAUGCAAUAGCAAAUCGGCAGCUUGUUUCCAGGGAAUGGUGUUUUCCUGCAGUGAGGUUUUAUGGCUGCAUGGCAGUUCUCUCACGGUUGCUGUCUACACUGCCAAACCCCAGCCAAAUGGUGCCGCUGGCCAGUGAACACACAUGAUCCACUGGGCUGGAAUCGCUGGCAGCCAGACCCCAGGUAAAGAACAGUUCCCAUUACUAACACUUGAGGUACCACACAAGUGGCUGGAUCUUCCUCUGACAGGCAAUGCCCAUCUUCAGAGUAUCUGUCAGAAAACAUCACAGCUGCCAAACGAGUGCAAAUUAUGUAUGACACAUACAGGUUCAUCAACAAACAAGUCGACAUACCACAGAAAAACCUUACUUCAGAAUAUCAUGUCAAAUAUUAUGUACUGUAACACUGGUGCUCAAUUGAAGUGCUAUGCCAUUACAAAAUUAGCUAUCAUAACAUACCACU
rnacentral:lncRNA from 1 species